AGUGAACGCUGGCGGUAGGCCUAACACAUGCAAGUCGAACGGCAGCACAGUAAGCGCUUGCUCUUACGGGUGGCGAGUGGCGGACGGGUGAGGAAUACAUCGGCAUCUACUUUUUCGUGGGGGAUAACGUAGGGAAACUUACGCUAAUACCGCAUACGACCUACGGGUGAAAGCAGGGGAUCUUCGGCCCUUGCGCGAUUGAAUGAGCCGAUGUCGGAUUAGCUAGUUGGCGGGGUAAAGGCCCACCAAGGCGACGAUCCGUAGCUGGUCUGAGAGGAUGAUCAGCCACACUGGAACUGAGACACGGUCCAGACUCCUACGGGAGGCAGCAGUGGGGAAUAUUGGACAAUGGGCGCAAGCCUGAUCCAGCCAUACCGCGUGGGUGAAGAAGGCCUUCGGGUUGUAAAGCCCUUUUGUUGGGAAAGAAAAGCAGCAGGUUAAUACCCCGCUGUUCUGACGGUACCCAAAGAAUAAGCACCGGCUAACUUCGUG
rnacentral:rRNA from 1 species